rnacentral:rRNA from 1 species
AGUGGCGGACGGGUGAGUAACACGUAAGAAUUUGCCUUUAGGAGGGGGAUAACAACUGGAAACGGGUGCUAAUACCCCAUAUGCUUUCCAGUGAAAUGGUUUUUCCGCCUAAAGAGAACCUCGCGGCUGAUUAGCUUGUUGGUGAGGUAAUAGCUCACCAAGGCGACGAUCAGUAUCUGGUUUGAGAGGACGAUCAGACACACUGGAAUUGAUACACGGUCCAGACUCCUACGGGAGGUAGCAGUAGGGAAUUUUCUGCAAUGGGCGAAAGCCUGACGGAGCAAUACCUCGUGAGGGAUGACGGCCUAUGGGUUGUAAACCUCUUUUUUCCGGGAGGAAUCAAUGACGUGUACCUGAAAAAUAAGUAUCGGCUAACUCCGUGCCAGCAGCCGCGGUAAGACGGAGGAUGCAAGUGUUAUCCGGAAUCACUGCGCGUAAAGCCUCUGUAGGUGGUAAAAUAAGUCAACUGUUAAUUCUUGAGGCUCA